rnacentral:ncRNA from 2 species
CACUCAUGCUAGGGGUGCCUGCACUUUUCAGGCUGAGAACACACCCUUAACACCUGAGUCUGGGUAAUACCAGCGGAGGGAAGCUGUUUAUCGAGGGA